AACGAACGCUGGCGGCAGGCUUAACACAUGCAAGUCGAACGCAUCCUUCGGGGUGAGUGGCAGACGGGUGAGUAACGCGUGGGAACGUGCCCUUCAGUUCGGGAUAACCCAGGGAAACUUGGGCUAAUACCGGAUACGUGCGAGAGCAGAAAGAUUUAUCGCUGAAGGAUCGGCCCGCGUCUGAUUAGCUAGUUGGUGGGGUAAGGGCACACCAAGGGGACGAUCAGUAGCUGGUCUGAGAGGAUGAUCAGCCACAUUGGGACUGAGACACGGCCCAAACUCCUACGGGAGGCAGCAGUGGGGAAUAUUGGACAAUGGGCGCAAGCCUGAUCCAGCCAUGCCGCGUGAGUGAUGAAGGCCUUAGGGUUGUAAAGCUCUUUCGUCCGGGACGAUAAUGACGGUACCGGAAGAAGAAGCCCCGGCUAACUUCGUGCCAGCAGCCGCAGUAA
rnacentral:rRNA from 1 species